CGACGUGGAGAACCUGCCGUAUACUGGGGGAUAACACUUAGAAAUAGGUGCUAAUACCGCAUAAGCGCACAGCUUCGCAUGAAGCAGUGUGGAAAACAAAAAGCUAAAGCUUUUGGUGGUAUACGAUGGAUCCGCGUCUGAUUAGCUAGUUGGCGGGGUAAAGGCCCACCAAGGCGACGAUCAGUAGCCGGCCUGAGAGGGUGAACGGCCACAUUGGGACUGAGACACGGCCCAACUCCUACGGAAGGCAGCAG
rnacentral:rRNA from 1 species